UAGCGCGGUGGUCCCACCUGACCCCAUGCCGAACUCAGAAGUGAAACGCCGUAGCGCCGAUGGUAGUGUGGGGUCUCCCCAUGCGAGAGUAGGGAACUACCAGGC
rnacentral:rRNA from 2 species